AUACUCACUUGGCAGGAGAGAGACCAUGAUUGUGAAGGUGGUUUUCCUAAGGUCAGGUUGAUCCAUUGCUCUAAAGAUGUACCCACACCUACAACUUCCCCAGAUACUUGAACAUUGUGUAAUUAUAUUGAUCAAGCUUGAU
ensembl:snRNA U1 U1 spliceosomal RNA